GCUGGAAAUAGCCUUGUAUGUGUUUACCCUGCAAUUACACGCUACGUUAAAUGCUCUGCAAGAACAUGGCGAUCACCCUGCAAUUAACUGGGCCUGUUUCCUGGGCAAGGAGGAUGGAGACAGCUACUGAGGGACAUCAGUGUUGCCUGGUUUCUCAAUGGACCUGGGGGUCACCUUGUGACUUAUGCCACUGUUUCUGGAUGGAGGAGCCAGCUCCACAAGGGACAACUCCCUCAGCUGUUAGGGAGAGAGGCUGAGUAUAAGUCAGCCCUGAGCCUCAUGCACUGUGGGCUUCUGUAUGACAUGGUGUGUGAGCAGGGCUCUGCCUGGCUUCUCUUCCUUGGGGCCUCCUCACGCACUCAUAUUUCAGUACUUAGCAUCUCAAUGUCCUGAAUCCCAUUCACCUAUGUAUGAUACAGUUCCUGUCAUGGUGACCCAGUGAAUUCCUAGCUACCUUCCAAGCUCUGGCUCAGACGUGACAUCCUUUGGAUCCAUCAGAGACAGCCAAGCUGAUGCUUCAUCAGACCGGCCUUGCAUGGCAGGAAGGAGACCAGUGUGUCCUCAUCUUCAAGACAACCUGAGAGUCAUUGCAGCUUUCCUGGGACCAUUACAGACACCCAGCAAAGUUUGGCCUACUGGUUUUUAAUUAUUAAAGGCCAUGGCAUGGACAAGACCCAAGGGAGGGGUCCCAGGAUUCUGUACAUAUUCUGUAUGUAUGCACAUGUGGAUAUUUGUGCAUUGACUCUCUCCUUCCCCCAACUUCUACAUGUGAAUGAUUUGCCCACCGUGUGGAAUUUCAUGACCCAAUCUGCUUGUCCCCAACAUUUUCAAAGACCCCCAAAUUUACAAAG